rnacentral:lncRNA from 1 species
UUUUAUUUCUAUGGUGAAACUUAUUCUAAUUUCCAACCCAAGAUUCUGGAACACAUCUCCCAUUAUGAAGUGGGCCUCAGGAUGGGAGCGGAAACAGAGCCUCUUGUUCACACUCCACACCCUCAUUUUCCAGCAGUGAGGGUAGACUAUUAAGGCUCUCAUGUCAUCAAGGAUCGAGGCAAUGGGUUAAUGGAGACUCUAGACAUUUGUUUCCUCACCAGUGAAAAUUAAAUGAAGACCCAGGAAUCACUACAGCUAUAGGGAUGAGAAGGACAUUUCAGCAGCUAGAGUGUGGUGGCCUCCUUAGCAGCUUCUUUUUCCAUCAAGAAAAUAUUUCUGGACAAAAACAAACCCAUAGCUGGUUGGAAGCAGGGCAUUGGGCCCAGUGUUAAAGAUUUGAAUAAGAAAGAUGCAGAAGAUAUUAAUCAUAGGCUUAUCAAUGCCCCUAGGAGAUCUGUCCCCCUGAUUGAAGCAACUCUGGCCUUUGGAAGUUCAUACCCAAGAACCAUCUGAAGAGCCAGCGAAAGAGACUUGCCAGCCAUGGGGAUGCAAGUAAAAGGCUCUGAGGCUGGAAAGAACAUGGCAGGAGUGAGG